rnacentral:rRNA from 1 species
GUGGGGAAUCUUGCGCAAUGGGCGAAAGCCUGACGCAGCCAUGCCGCGUGAAUGAUGAAGGUCUUAGGAUUGUAAAAUUCUUUCACCGGGGACGAUAAUGACGGUACCCGGAGAAGAAGCCCCGGCUAACUUCGUGCCAGCAGCCGCGGUAAUACGAAGGGGGCUAGCGUUGCUCGGAAUUACUGGGCGUAAAGGGCGCGUAGGCGGACAGUUUAGUCAGAGGUGAAAGCCCAGGGCUCAACCUUGGAAUUGCCUUUGAUACUGGCUGUCUUGAGUACGGGAGAGGUGAGUGGAACUCCGAGUGUAGAGGUGAAAUUCGUAGAUAUUCGGAAGAACACCAGUGGCGAAGGCGACUCACUGGCCCGUUACUGACGCUGAGGCGCGAAAGCGUGGGGUGCAAACAGGAUUAGAAACCCCUGUAGUCC